GGUGUAGCCAAGCGGUAAGGCAACAGACUUUGACUCUGUCAGUCGCAGGUUCGAGUCCUGCCAUC
rnacentral:tRNA from 1 species